rnacentral:lncRNA from 1 species
ACACUGAAAAUUUUGCUGGUAUUCAUCUAUUUGCUCUGUAUGUUUAUGUGAAAGCACACUGUUUUCUGCCGGAAUAUGUAUAUCCUGUUCUUCCAGAGUGGAAACGCUUCGGCAUUCCAUUCUGGAAGAACAGGUUUGAGUUUCGGGUCCCAUCACUUGAAACUGUUUAUCAUGGGGUCCGCGCCUGGCCCGUCGAUCCCCGCAAGAAAAGCAAGAAAAAUUAGCUUCAGUCAGAUUAGAUCAGUCGUCUUCCACCAUUCGACUGAUCCCUCCGCAGGGAUGGGCAGCCUGUGGAAGGGUUUGUUUCGCCCCGCCACUUAGUCGUCAUCUGUUGACAAAAAAGCAAUCUGUUCUGAACUUUAUCAUUAGUUCACGUAGUUUAUAAAAUGUUUACUGGCUACUUAAUUUUCAUUAAUUAAAAAACUGUG